rnacentral:rRNA from 1 species
UACGAAGGGGGCUAGCGUUGUUCGGAAUUACUGGGCGUAAGCGCACGUAGGCGGGUUGUUAAGUCAGGGUGAAAUCCCGGAGCUCAACUCCGGAACUGCCUUUGAUACUGGCAAUCUAGAGACUGGAAGAGGUUAGUGGAAUUCCCAGUGUAGAGGUGAAAGUUCGUAGGAUAUUGGGAAGGAACACCAGUGGCGAAGGCGGC